CUCAUCCACUAACCUUUGCAAUUUUUCUUUAGAAUCUCCCAUAAGCACAGUAUCAUCAGCAAAAAGUAACUGUGUCAAUUCCCAUUUUGAAUUUGAUUCCCCAAAAUUUAAUCCCACCCCUCUCCCGAACACCCUAGCAUUUACUUCCUUUACAACCCAUCUAUAAAUAUAUUAAACAACCAUGGUGACAUUACACAUCCCUGUCUAAGACCUACUUUUACCAGGAAGUAGUCUCCCUCUCUUCUACACACCCUAACCUGAGCCUCACUAUCCUCAUAAAAACUCUUUACAGCAUUUAAUAACUUACCACCUAUUCCAUAUACUUGCAACAUCUGCCACAUUGCUGCUCUAUCCACUCCAUCAUAUGCUUUUUCUAAAUCCAUAAAUGCAAUAAAAACUUCCCUACCUUUAUCUAAAUACUGUUCACAUAUAUGCUUCAAUGUACAAGUCUCUCUCAACAUUCACGUUUUCAGCUUUCGCGGGCUUCACACAUUCGCGAAUUCCCAACCGCCAAAUUCCCAACUGCCAAAUUCCCAGCCGCCAAAUCAUAUUCAAGUUUCCCGCCACCUGCGAGUCCCUACUACCCUCCCUCCUACCCCCGCAACUGACAGCCAGCCCUCCCACCACUCAGUGUGCCUGUUGCUAAGAAGCAGAAUAACCUAGAAAUGAACAAGGACUACGAAUUAUCACUCCUGGUUAAGAAAGUGAAAAACAAAACAAAUAUUACUAUGAAGAAACAAGGGAUGUAAAAUAUUUUUGAUGAUCUACCAGUCAACUGUACUCUUUAGUAGCAUAAAGUGCAUUACUGUACUUUUCUGUAUUAAGAAUUUUUUAUGUUUUUUUUUUAAAAUUUAGGAAUAUUCAUAUGAUAUAAGAGAUGUGACAGUGACUAUCCCAAUUUAGACUUUACAUACAUUGUAAAUUUUAAAAACUUGUAAAAAUAUAACUGUACUUGCAGAAUGAAAUGCAUUUUGGGUAGUUUACCUCAAAACAAUAAAUAUGAGUAUAUUUUACUACCUUUCUGUAAAUGUUUUCUUUCUGUACAGUUCUAAAGUUAAAUAUUUUCAAUUAAAUUUUACAUACCAGGUAAAAGGUGAUAUUCUAGGAUACAAAUUGUAGAACACAGGGUAUGCAUGUAUUUAAUAUGUUGUGUGCCUGUGUUCGGGGAUUUUGGGUCUUGCAGUGAAUGAUGGAGAGAUCCAUUUUUAAGCACUACUGUCUCAUUGUGUUCCACAUUUUUUUGUAUCUUAGUAUCUGUGAUAUUUUGGAUCACUGCAACAGCCACCAUGAAGGAACUAAAAAUGAGCAUUUAGCUUGAAAUAAAGCUAGAAGUGGA